rnacentral:rRNA from 1 species
AUUGAACGCUGGCGGCAGGCCUAACACAUGCAAGUCGAACGGUAACAGGAAGAAGCUUGCUUCUUUGCUGACGAGUGGCGGACGGGUGAGUAAUGUCUGGGAAACUGCCUGAUGGAGGGGGAUAACUACUGGAAACGGUAGCUAAUACCGCAUAACGUCGCUAGACCAAAGAGGGGGACCUUCGGGCCUCUUGCCAUCGGAUGUGCCCAGAUGGGAUUAGCUAGUAGGUGGGGUAACGGCUCACCUAGGCGACGAUCCCUAGCUGGUCUGAGAGGAUGACCAGCCACACUGGAACUGAGACACGGUCCAGACUCCUACGGGAGGCAGCAGUGGGGAAUAUUGCACAAUGGGCGCAAGCCUGAUGCAGCCAUGCCGCGUGUAUGAAGAAGGCCUUCGGGUUGUAAAGUACUUUCAGCGGGGAGGAAGGGAGUAAAGUUAAUACCUUUACUCAUUGACGUUACCCGCAGAAGAAGCACCGGCUAACUCCGUG